ensembl:lncRNA
AGUGCCACUGACCAAGCGCUGGAGUUGCAGGAUUCGGAGGAUGAGAACAAACUCUUCCUUCGGAGGCUGCCUCCACUCUUCUUUUCCUCCAACUUUUUCUGGUCAGCGACCUCCUGACAAACAUGCAGGAGGAUCCCUCUCAUCAUCUUUUACUAACCAGUGUGUGAGUUUCUCUCCCCAGAAGCCUCCUGCGCUACCUAAGAGGGCUGCUGGACCUCCUGCCGGCCAACCUCCAGGUAAGAAGGUUUGCAAACCUUCUAUUACAUUAAAUCUACCCAGUUUUGUUUGAAACAUUUUAGCUACGUGUGAUUUUCUGGAUGUGAUCUGAUCAGAUUUUAUUUGAAUGAAUCUCUUGUGAUUAUGUCUGAUCAGAUCAAUUCCAACUUUAUUUGAAUGAAUUUUCUUAGAUUGUAUUUUGUGUGAUUCUGUCUGAGCUCGGUUCUUGUCGGUGGGACUGUGGUCAGGGUUCCUGUCAGAGGUGUGGUGGAUCUGGGGGGGAUUGUGGGAAACCUGCUGUGGUUCCCCCCUUACAGUGAAGCUCCGCUCUGUCAGAAGGUGAACAGGAUGCAGAGUAACAUGUGUCUGUAUCCCACCCUGGACCCACAGUGGAGUCCACAGUGACAAGAUCACAGCUCAGGAGAAUCACACUGGGAUUUAAAAGGGGGGUUAAAUGUGUUAUUUAAGAUAGCAAAUGUAGUCUGAGGGUGAAGGUCUCGCUGCCAGAGGGAAGUUUCCAGAAAAACAGGUACGUGAGGAUCCCUGUGAAUGCUGCUGCAUGAAAAGGUGAGUUUGGGAUUUUGAUUUUGCAUUCAUAUAUCUAAUAUUUUGAAAUCUCAACAAUAACACACCUCGACAAGAUCCUGCCGCGUUUUUCUUUUUGAUUUCUUCCAGACUGAUGAUCCCAGGACCCAAGACCAAGACGGGGAUGAGCCCAAAAGACCACUUGAAGACGAGUGACGGAGCCCCAACAGAGAUGAAGCCAGAGAUGACGACCAGCCUGUGAGAAGAAAGAACAACUUUACUGAGACUUUACCGGAUGCACUGGCAGAUUCAGACAGGAUGGAACAGAGAUGACGGGAGGCAGAUCCAGGACCAGUGCAUGACUCCUGAGACCAUUCAAUUAGCACAAGAGCCAUCUCUCCAAGACCCCCGAUCUCAUGAAAGAUCAGAUCAAGAAACCAGACAAGGAACAGCCCAUGAUGUCAGUCCAGAUUAUGGAAGAGGGGAUGAUUAUUAUAGUGACACAAAAGGAGGAAGUGGGAGCAUCCAGAGGAAACCCACACAGUCGCAGAGAGAACAUGAACAGAAGGAACCAGCUGAGCAGCAGAAGAUAAAGAGACGGUUGGAGGAGCCCCAAGACAGAAGAAACAGGCCAGGAAGACAAAGAAGAAGAAGAAGAAGAGGAGGAUCAGCUCCAGAUAUCCCCAAUGGUUUCUCUGGAUCUGGAGCUGCAUGUUUCUGAUCUGCUCUUAUCGGCCUCAGCGACCUCCAAAGUCUUCAUGUUCUCUUCCUCCUCUCUACCCUCAACCCAACCAGAGUUUUUUUUUUUUAACUUCCCAGAUGGAAGUUUUUUUUUCUCACCCCAACUGGAGUUGUGUUUUUUUUUACUUCCCAACAACAGGAAGUUUUUUUUCCCUCCACACUGGUACCACAUACUUGAUCUGAUCAUACUGCAAAAAGAGAGAUCCUCAAAUAAAACACAAAACAACACAA